UGGGGAAUUUUGGACAAUGGGCGAAAGCCUGAUCCAGCAAUGCCGCGUGUGUGAAGAAGGCCUUCGGGUUGUAAAGCACUUUUGUCCGGAAAGAAAUCCUUGGCUCUAAUACAGUCGGGGGAUGACGGUACCGGAAGAAUAAGCACCGGCUAACUACGUGCCAGCAGCCGCGGUAAUACGUAGGGUGCAAGCGUUAAUCGGAAUUACUGGGCGUAAAGCGUGCGCAGGCGGUUUGCUAAGACCGAUGUGCAAAUCCCCGGGCUCAACCUGGGAACUGCAUUGGUGACUGGCAGGCUAGAGUAUGGCAGAGGGGGGUAGAAUUCCACGUGUAGCAGUGAAAUGCGUAGAGAUGUGGAGGAAUACCGAUGGCGAAGGCAGCCCCCUGGGCCAAAUACUGACGCUCAUGCACGAAAGCGUGGGGAGCAAACAGGAUUAGAUACCCUGGUAGUCCACGCCCUAAAACGAUGUCAACUAGUUGUUGGGGAUUCAUUUCCUUAGUAACGUAGCUAACGCGUGAAGUUGACCGCCUGGGGAGUACGGUCGCAAGAUUAAAACUCAAAUGAAUUGAC
rnacentral:rRNA from 1 species